AGUGAACGCUGGCGGUAGGCCUAACACAUGCAAGUCGAACGGCAGCACAGUAAGAGCUUGCUCUUACGGAUGGCGAGUGGCGGACGGGAGAGGAAUACAUCGGAAUCUACUUUUUCGUGUGGGCUAACGUAGGGAAACUUACGCUAAUACCCCAUACGCCCUGCGAGUGUAAGCAGGUGAUCUUCGUAUCUUGCGCGGUUGAACGAGCGGAUGUCGGAUUAGCUAGUGGGCGGGGUAAAGGCCCACCAAGGCGCCGAUCGGUAGCCGGUGUGAGAGGCUGAUCGCCCACCCGGGAAGUUAGACAGCCACCCGACUCCUACGAGAGGGAGCAGUGGGCAAUAUUAGACAAUGGGGGGGAGCCUGGUCCAGCCAUCCCGCGUGGGUGGAGACGGCCUCCGGGUUGUGAAGCCCUUUUUUUGGGAAAGAAACGCAGCUGGUUAAGACCCCGCUGUUGUGACGGUACCCAAAGAAUAAGCACCGGCUAACUACGUG
rnacentral:rRNA from 1 species